CCUGGCUCAGAUUGAACGCUGGCGGCAGGCCUAACACAUGCAAGUCGAGCGGAAACGAGAAGUAGCUUGCUACUUCGGCGUCGAGCGGCGGACGGGUGAGUAAUGCCUAGGAAAUUGCCCUGAUGUGGGGGAUAACCAUUGGAAACGAUGGCUAAUACCGCAUAAUGCCUUCGGGCCAAAGAGGGGGACCUUCGGGCCUCUCGCGUCAGGAUAUGCCUAGGUGGGAUUAGCUAGUUGGUGAGGUAAUGGCUCACCAAGGCGACGAUCCCUAGCUGGUCUGAGAGGAUGAUCAGCCACACUGGAACUGAGACACGGUCCAGACUCCUACGGGAGGCAGCAGUGGGGAAUAUUGCACAAUGGGCGCAAGCCUGAUGCAGCCAUGCCGCGUGUAUGAAGAAGGCCUUCGGGUUGUAAAGUACUUUCAGCAGUGAGGAAGGGGUGUACGUUAAUAGCGUGCAUCCUUGACGUUAGCUGCAGAAGAAGCACCGGCUAACUCCGUGCCAGCAGCCGCGGUAAUACGGAGGGUGCGAGCGUUAAUCGGAAUUACUGGGCGUAAAGCGCAUGCAGGUGGUUCGUUAAGUCAGAUGUGAAAGCCCGGGGCUCAACCUCGGAACUGCAUUUGAAACUGGCGGGCUAGAGUACUGUAGAGGGGGGUAGAAUUUCAGGUGUAGCGGUGAAAUGCGUAGAGAUCUGAAGGAAUACCAGUGGCGAAGGCGGCCCCCUGGACAGAUACUGACACUCAGAUGCGAAAGCGUGGGGAGCAAACAGGAUUAGAUACCCUGGUAGUCCACGCCGUAAACGAUGUCUACUUGGAGGUUGUGGCCUUGAGCCGUGGCUUUCGGAGCUAACGCGUUAAGUAGACCGCCUGGGGAGUACGGUCGCAAGAUUAAAACUCAAAUGAAUUGACGGGGGCCCGCACAAGCGGUGGAGCAUGUGGUUUAAUUCGAUGCAACGCGAAGAACCUUACCUACUCUUGACAUCCAGAGAAGCCAGCGGAGACGCAGGUGUGCCUUCGGGAACUCUGAGACAGGUGCUGCAUGGCUGUCGUCAGCUCGUGUUGUGAAAUGUUGGGUUAAGUCCCGCAACGAGCGCAACCCUUAUCCUUGUUUGCCAGCGAGUAAUGUCGGGAACUCCAGGGAGACUGCCGGUGAUAAACCGGAGGAAGGUGGGGACGACGUCAAGUCAUCAUGGCCCUUACGAGUAGGGCUACACACGUGCUACAAUGGCGCAUACAGAGGGCAGCCAACCAGCGAUGGUGAGCGAAUCCCAAAAAGUGCGUCGUAGUCCGGAUUGGAGUCUGCAACUCGACUCCAUGAAGUCGGAAUCGCUAGUAAUCGUGAAUCAGAAUGUCACGGUGAAUACGUUCCCGGGCCUUGUACACACCGCCCGUCACACCAUGGGAGUGGGCUGCAAAAGAAGUAGGUAGUUUAACCCUUCGGGGAGGACGCUUACCACUUUGUGGUUCAUGACUGGGGUGAAGUCGUAACAAGGUAGCCCUAGGGGAACCUGCGGCUGGAUC
rnacentral:rRNA from 1 species